rnacentral:lncRNA from 1 species
AUUCACUUUUGAGACACACGGACACAACUGACACACUGCAUAUCACAAACACAGACACAGUAAUAACGUUGCUCUCCCUUGUGCUAUUUCUGUACUUUUCUCUCUUGUGCUGCUACUGCUCCCUGCUCUUGACUAUUACUAGCUGGGUGAAACCCAAGGCUAAUAUUGUGCUCACACUUGGCUCUUGCAUUCUGUUGUGCUCUUUUUUUUACUGGUAUGUCCUAAUUAAAUUCUAUGUUCCAAACAAUAAUGAUUAUUGCUACUUCAGUAUGUUUUGCUCCUAAUUAUUUUCUACUUGUGCUUUUGAUAUACAACAUGUGAUUAAUUCUUGGUCUGCCGAUUGAUACUUGCAUUCUCAUGACUAUUGUUGCCUGUUAUGGCUACAUGUGUUACUACUUACUUUUGUGUCUCAACUUGACUAUUUCAAGGCCUCUUAAACCUCUUUUGAUUCUGUGACUUUGCAUGUGAUAUGUUUGACCCCUUUACCCAUUACCCAUGUAUCAAACUAUGCUCUUACAUGUGAACUACUUGUCGCAUUCCCCAUUUCCCUGUUUGUGUUUGCUUUCCUAAACUAUGGGUGAUAUUCUAGUUCUAAGAUUGUCUUACUCACCUCCAUAAAAAUUGUCACACGCUUCUACUGUUUUCUUUCAAAAAGUGAUUCUAUAGGUAUCAUUUUCAAACUGUUUUCCCUCAACUUAAUUUCUUUAAAACUAUAUCACGCACUCUCACUACUCUUAGAGAUUAUGUUCUACCCCAUUUGUGUAAGCAUUGCUUUGGGUACCCUUGAGUGCCCACUGAACUUUGAUGCACAAGGCUAGUAAUUCCACACCACACCUGUCCAACAAUUCUGGUAAGUGUUUUGGGUGCUAGUAUUGGCCAAGGACCCAAUAGGGGCCUUAGGGAGCUUUACCGCACCCAGACUAUGGCAAAGGCUGUGAAACUCAAAAGGAGUGACGUUGGAAGAUUGGGCCUGACUAAAGGCUCCCUAUAGAAUAACUUCUUCUUUUGAUUAUUACUGUAAUUCAGCUAUCCUUGGUUUGUAAUAAUUUUUAAAUGAAUGAUUGGGGCUGGAUAGUGAAUAUGGGGGGUUAUGCAUGCAUAGUUUAAGUAAUGGGUAGAAAACAUGCUUAUAGGAUUUUUAUUUACUUAUUUGUGCAAUAGAUAUCCUGUAUAGGACAUACAUCUCAUUCAUUAGAUAUCCUGCUUUAGUUUCUUUACUUUCAUCCUGUUGUUAUAUCAUUUCGUUAUCAUGAUCAGCUAAUGAUCGUAAUAAGCUAAUAACUGUUAUAAUGCAACGGCUGCAUUUUCAUCCUCGUCGGCAUAUAGAAAUCAUGUUUUGGGAACUUCUAUGUGCAUUAGACAUCCUGUUAUUUGAAGUUCUCUACUCAUCUGAGUUACAAUUAUGCCUAUUAGCAUGUCUAAUCUAAUAACACAAGUACUGUAUGUGUACCUUUUUUUUAAAUUGGAUAUUAAUAUGCAUAUUCACCCUUUAAGAUAAUUAGGCAAUGUAUGCAACGCCUAGGCAAACUUUAUGACUAAUGCGUAUAAAAAUUAGUCAUGUUUAACCAGCUUAGGACCAAUCAGUUUCCUUUAACAUUCCAAAUUGUGUUUCUAGUUUUGCCUCUCUGAAAUUCACUCUGUUUUACUAAAACGCAUGCUCUAUUUUUUAAGCAAUUUUGAAAUUGUGUAUCCGCUUAUUCUCACUGAUGUUUGUUCUACUAUGUUUUCAAACCGCUGGGUGAUCCUUUCU